UUAGAUACCCUACUAUACUGAUAAAUCCCUUAAUUAUUAAUAGGUAUAGUCUUUAAAUUUAAAGAAUUUGGCGGUGAUUUAAUCUUAUUAGAGGAAUCUGUUUUUAAAUCGAUAAACCACGUAAAAUCUUACUCGUUUUAGUUUAGCUUGUAUACCGUCAUUAUCAGAUGAUUUUUAAAAAUCGUGUAAUCAUUGUAAUUUAUAAAAGUAUAAAUUAAAUUAGAUCAAGGUGUAGCUUAUAAAUGAGUUAAAAUGGAUUACAAUAAAGUAUAUUUAAUACGAAAUAAUUAUAAGAAUAAAUGUUAUGAAGGAGGAUUUAAUUGUAAUAGGAAUUUAAUAAGUUCUUAAGAUAUAAGCACUAAAUUAUGUACAUAUCGCCCGUCGCUA
rnacentral:rRNA from 1 species